rnacentral:sRNA from 1 species
GAGCCGCGGGGACUAUGGAGCCGGUGCCGCUGCAGGACUUCGUGCGCGCCUUGGACCCCGCCUCCCUCCCGCGCGUGCUGCGGGUCUGCUCGGGGGUCUACUUCGAGGCGGCUGAGUGACCAGGCUGGGGAGGAUGAGGAAGAGUGUGAAGAGGAGGCAGAGAGCCCAGAGCGGGUCCUGCUGCCCUUCCACUUCCCUGGCAGUUUCGUGGAGGAGAUGAGUGACAGCCGGCGCUACAGCCUGGCGGAUCUGACUGCCCAGUUUUCACUGCCUUGUGAGGUCAAGGUGGUGGCCAAGGACACCAGCUACCCCACUGACCCUCUGACCUCAUUCCUGGGCCUGCGGCUGGAGGAGAAGAUCACAGAGCCAUUCUUGGUGGUGAGCCUGGACUCUGAGCCUGGGAUGUGCUUUGAGAUCCCUCCCCGGUGGCUGGACCUGACUGUCGUGGAGGCCAAGGGGCAGCCAGACUUCCCAGAGGGGUCUCUCCCCAUAGCCACAGUGGAGGAGCUGACAGACACCUUCUAUUAUCAUCUUCGGAAGUUACCAGCCUGUGAGAUCCAAGCCCCCCCACCCAGGCCCCCUAAAAGUCAGGGCCUCAGCAAGCAGAGGAGACACAGCAGCGAGGGAGGCGUCAAGUCUUCUCAAGGCUUAGGAUUGCAGCAACACGCUCCGCUGCCCAAACCCAAGGCGAAGACCUUGCCAGAGUUCAUCAAGGGUGGCUCCAGUAUGUACAGCAAGAUUCCUGCCCACAGGAAGGGC